rnacentral:rRNA from 1 species
CCUACGGGGGGCUGCAGUGGGGAAUAUUGCACAACGGGCGCAAGCCUGAUGCAGCCAUGCCGCGUGUGUGAAGAAGGCCUUCGGGUUGUAAAGCACUUUCAGCGGGGAGGAAGGCGGUGAGGUUAAUAACCUCAUCGAUUGACGUUACCCGCAGAAGAAGCACCGGCUAACUCCGUGCCAGCAGCCGCGGUAAUACGGAGGGUGCAAGCGUUAAUCGGAAUUACUGGGCGUAAAGCGCACGCAGGCGGUCUGUCAAGUCGGAUGUGAAAUCCCCGGGCUCAACCUGGGAACUGCAUUCGAAACUGGCAGGCUAGAGUCUUGUAGAGGGGGGUAGAAUUCCAGGUGUAGCGGUGAAAUGCGUAGAGAUCUGGAGGAAUACCGGUGGCGAAGGCGGCCCCCUGGACAAAGACUGACGCUCAGGUGCGAAAGCGUGGGGAGCAAACAGGAUUAGAUACCCCAGUAGUC